GAGCAAUGAAGAGAACCGCUCUUUUGUGAAUGUUGGGUUCAUCUUUGUCUCUGAUCUUACGAUGGAAAACUACGCUUCUGAGCUC
rfam:Gossypium arboreum cultivar AKA8401 contig_101232_1, whole genome shotgun sequence.